AACGAACGCUGGCGGCAGGCUUAACACAUGCAAGUCGAGCGCCCCGCAAGGGGAGCGGCAGACGGGUGAGUAACGCGUGGGAACGUACCCUUUGCUACGGAAUAGCUCCGGGAAACUGGAAUUAAUACCGUAUGUGCCCUACGGGGGAGAGAUUUAUCGGCAAAGGAUCGGCCGGCGUUGGAUUAGCUGGUUGGUGGGGUAAUGGCCUACCAAGGCGACGAUCCAUAGCUGGUCUGAGAGAAUGAUCAGCCACAUUGGGACUGAGACACGGCCCAAACUCCUACGGGAGGCAGCAGUGGGGAAUAUUGGACAAUGGGCGCAAGCCUGAUCCAGCCAUGCCGCGUGAGUGAUGAAGGCCUUAGGGUUGUAAAGCUCUUUCACCGGAGAAGAUAAUGACGGUAUCCGGAGAAGAAGCCCCGGCUAACUUCGUGCCAGCCGCCGCCGUAACAC
rnacentral:rRNA from 1 species